rnacentral:rRNA from 1 species
CCUACGGGAGGCAGCAGUGAGGAAUAUUGGUCAAUGGGCUUACGCCUGAACCAGCCAAGUCGCGUGAGGGAAGACUGCCCUAUGGGUUGUAAACCUCUUUUGUCAGGGAGCAAAUGGCGCUACGUGUAGCGUGAUCGAGAGUACCUGAAGAAAAAGCAGCGGCGAACGCCGUGCCAGCAGCCGCGGUAAUACGGAGGAUGCGAGCGUGAGCCGGAUUGCUUGGGUUUAAAGGGUGCGUCGGCGGAAUGCCAAGUCAGCGGUAAAAUCGCGGGGCUCAACCUCGCUCCGCCGUUGAAACUGGCGUUCUUGCGUGGGCGAGACGUAUGCGGCAUGCGUGGUGUAGCGGUGAAAUGCAUAGCUAUCACGC